rnacentral:rRNA from 1 species
UUGGAGGGCAAGUCUGGUGCCAGCAGCCGCGGUAAUUCCAGCUCCAAUAGCGUAUAUUAAAGUUGCUGCAGUUAAAAAGCUCGUAGUUGAAUUUCGAGACCAUCAUGUCGGUCGUGCUUCGGUACGUACUGGUAUUGUUGGUUUCUCCCUUCUGACGAACCAUGAUGUCAUUUAUUUGGUGUUGUGGGAAAUCAGGACUGUUACUUUGAAAAAAUUAGAGUGUUUAAAGCAGGC